rnacentral:rRNA from 1 species
AACGAACGCUGGCGGCAGGCCUAACACAUGCAAGUCGAACGAGAUCUUCGGAUCUAGUGGCGGACGGGUGAGUAACGCGUGGGAACGUGCCCUUUGGUUCGGAAUAACUCAGGGAAACUUGUGCUAAUACCGAAUGUGCCCUUCGGGGGAAAGACUUAUCGCCUUUAGAGCGGCCCGCGUCUGAUUAGCUAGUUGGUGAGGUAAAGGCUCACCAAGGCUACGGUCAGUAGCUGGUCUGAGAGGAUGACCAGCCACAUUGGGACUGAGACACGGCCCAAACUCCUACGGGAGGCAGCAGUGGGGAAUCUUGCGCAAUGGGCGAAAGCCUGACGCAGCCAUGCCGCGUGGAUGAUGAAGGUCUUAGGAUUGUAAAAUCCUUUCACCGGUGAAGAUAAUGACUGUAGCCGGAGAAGAAGCCCCGGCUAACUUCGUGCCAGCCGCCGCAGUAA